UGGGGAAUAUUGGACAAUGGGCGAAAGCCUGAUCCAGCCAUGCCGCGUGUGUGAAGAAGGUCUUCGGAUUGUAAAGCACUUUAAGUUGGGAGGAAGGGCAUUAACCUAAUACGUUAGUGUUUUGACGUUACCGACAGAAUAAGCACCGGCUAACUCUGUGCCAGCAGCCGCGGUAAUACCGAGGGGGCAAGCGGUAAUCGGACUUACUGGGCGUAAAGCGCGCGUAGGUGGUUUGUUAAGUUGGAUGUGAAAUCCCCGGGCUCAACCUGGGAACUGCAUUCAAAACUGACUGACUAGAGUAUGGUAGAGGGUGGUGGAAUUUCCUGUGUAGCGGUGAAAUGCGUAGAUAUAGGAAGGAACACCAGUGGCGAAGGCGACCACCUGGACUAAUACUGACACUGAGGUGCGAAAGCGUGGGGAGCAAACA
rnacentral:rRNA from 1 species